AGAGUUUGAUCCUGGCUCAGGGUGAACGCUGGCGGCGUGCCUAACACAUGCAAGUCGAACGGGCGCGGCGUGCGGCAGGGGCCUCGGCCCCUGCGGCGCCGCGCGAGUGGCGGACGGGUGAGUAACGCGUGGGCAACCUGCCCUGUACUGGGGGAUAACACCUGGAAAUAGGUGCUAAUACCGCAUAAGCGCGGCGUGCCGCAUGGCAUGGCGCGGAAAACCCCGGUGGUACAGGAUGGGCCCGCGUCUGAUUAGCUGGUUGGCAGGGUAACGGCCUACCAAGGCGACGAUCAGUAGCCGGCCUGAGAGGGUGGACGGCCACACUGGGACUGAGACACGGCCCAGACUCCUACGGGAGGCAGCAGUGGGGAAUUUUCCGCAAUGGGCGAAAGCCUGACGGAGCAAUGCCGCGUGGAGGUGGAAGGCCUACGGGUCGUCAACUUCUUUUCUCGGAGAAGAAACAAUGACGGUAUCUGAGGAAUAAGCAUCGGCUAACUCUGUG
rnacentral:rRNA from 1 species